CACGGGUGAGUAACACGUAUCCAACCUGCCGUCUACUCUUGGACAGCCUUCUGAAAGGAAGAUUAAUACAAGAUGGCAUCAUGAGUCCGCAUGUUCACAUGAUUAAAGGUAUUCCGGUAGACGAUGGGGAUGCGUUCCAUUAGAUAGUAGGCGGGGUAACGGCCCACCUAGUCUUCGAUGGAUAGGGGUUCUGAGAGGAAGGCCCCCACAUUGGAACUGAGACACGGUCCAA
rnacentral:rRNA from 1 species